UUGCGUAGGCGUUGUGCACAGUUAAAUAGAUAUUGUGUAUUCCCCCUAAGCAUCA
rnacentral:pre_miRNA from 1 species